AAACUGGCCAUGAUUAUAGGAAUUGUCUAUUAAAAAGAGGUUAGUUUAGUAGGUAAUCAUUAUAUAUUAGAGAACACCAUUCCUGGUGUGAUGUUGACACAAUUUUGGGGCUAGAAAUGGUACUAUGCAUAUGAGAUUUUUGAGCAUUUACAUGUGACAACUUUGUAUAUGUAAUUUUGGAGCUGUACAUAAUGAUUAUUGUACAGUUGAAAUGUGGAUGCAAUAUUGAUGUUGUGCAUCAAAUGUAAUGAACAUAUUUUUACUUGAUUAAUUGCUCCAUCUUUUGCUAAUUCAUUAAAUAGGAUUUCAAACAAAGCAUCAUUCUUUGUUCCUUGUGAAUGUUUUGGGGCAGGGACUGCAUUUUUCAAUUUGAUAUUGAGGUAUGGCAGACAAAGCAAGGCAGCAAUGCUUAGGUUCUUUAAACUCACAUGAUCAUUAAGGCAC
rnacentral:lncRNA from 1 species